rnacentral:rRNA from 1 species
AACGAACGCUGGCGGCAGGCCUAACACAUGCAAGUCGAACGAGAAGCCACCUUCGGGUGGUGGACAGUGGCAGACGGGUGAGUAACGCGUGGGAACGUGCCUUUCGGUUCGGAAUAACCCAGGGAAACUUGGGCUAAUACCGGAUACGCCCUUCGGGGGAAAGAUUCAUCGCCGAAAGAUCGGCCCGCGUCGGAUUAGCUAGUUGGUGGGGUAACGGCUCACCAAGGCUGUGAUGGGUAGCCGACCUGAGAGGGUGACCGGCCACACUGGGACUGAGACACUGCCCAGACUCCUACGGGAGGCUGCAGUCGAGAAUCUUCCGCAAUGCGCGCAAGCGUGACGGAGCGACGCCGCGUGGGUGAUGAAGGCCUUCGGGUUGUAAAGCCCUGUCAGCUACUAUGAAUCGCGGGUGGUGAAUAGCCAUCCCGCUUGACCUAAGUAGCAGAGGAAGCACCGGCUAACUACGUGC